GGUAUCGCGCAAAGGGUACGCCAAGCUCAAAAGAGCCAUUACAGCCCAUUGGAAUGCAUGUAAGCUGUGACAAGUUUUGCUGUUUGUGAGCGCUUCCCUUGCUGCUUCGCUAAAGUUUUGCCACGGAUCACUGCAGAAAUCCCUCGUGAUUGGAUUCCUUACGUUUUUCGUGUGAAAUCCCGUCACAUACACGUUAUUUCCUGUCUAUUUUGUACUCGUGUGAGGUCGUGUCGUUCCAAUUUUGUACUUUGAACUUCGAUUAUGUGAUUUGCUGGUUUUGUGUGGUGUUGUAUUUGUUGUGUUACGUUUCCUUUGUCGUCUGUCAGCGUGUUGCUUCUGGUGUUUCUCCCAUUUCCUUCUGCUCGGGGGUGUGAAAUGCCAGGGAGCAGUAUUCUCAGAAUUGACUCUCGACAUUCAGCCUUGUUUGGCACGUUUGUUUAUGUAACCACCUUAAUGUGGUUGGGUAUAAACAUUAUGCUUUGCACAGGAAGUUAAGAUAUGACUAGUUAUGACACGAAAUGCCGAACGGCACUAAAGCACUUCCAAAGGACUAGAAUGAUAUGUGAUGUAAAGGCUAUAUGACGGUAAAAACAUAUCGACUAGAAAUAUGUGCACUGGGGAAGUAAAUGGUGGUAAAGACAUUCACUCUACCUCUAGUCAUUUUGAACUAACUCAUAAAAAGGCUAAGUAGCAAGGUCUUGUGGUGAAAGCUCUAAGAUCAAAGUAUCACAAGUCCAGUUGCAACAGCAAGUUUGAAGCAGUCAGCCAGAUGAGGCCUGGCUGUCACCCCUGUAUAUUCCUUGGCAAGGUGGUACAGUCCGGUACUGCUGUAGCAAUGGGAAACUUCUUCGAUCAGACGGAUCACAUUGCUUUCAUUUGGGCUGCAAACAUAUAUUGUCGCAAACUUAAGCAGGGAGAAUAAAGAGUACACAUUC